UACGUAGGGUGCAAGCGUUGUCCGGAAUUAUUGGGCGUAAAGAGCUCGUAGGCGGUUUGUCGCGUCUGCUGUGAAAACUCAGGGCUUAACCCUGAGCUUGCAGUGGGUACGGGCAGACUAGAGUGCGGUAGGGGAGACUGGAAUUCCUGGUGUAGCGGUGAAAUGCGCAGAUAUCAGGAGGAACACCGGUGGCGAAGGCGGGUCUCUGGGCCGUAACUGACGCUGGAGGAGCGAAAGCAUGGGAGCGAACAGG
rnacentral:rRNA from 1 species